GAACACCUUGUUGUGAGAAGGAAUCAACUCCAGGCUUAAACAGAACAUCUGGGGUCUCCUCCCACGGCAGUGGUGAGCCUUGCACUUUGAUGCCUGUCAAGCAGCCCCUUACAACAAUAACACCCAAGACAACGUGAACAGAUAGUUCUUUUAAUGGAGCAGAGACAAUGAUGACGAUUUAAAAGGUUUAUGAAGACAAGAAAGUAAGAAGUGGGCAGGAAAACCAAGGUAUUAUAUAACAGGGGAAAAAAAGGAGUCCUCCUUCUGAUAUUAUGACCUGCAAGGCUUGAUGAAAUCUGGCCUAUGACCUGCAUCCAAGACCUUCUUUAUGGAUUGGAGAAUUCUGUGGGUAUUAGAAGGACUUUGCAGACUUGUUAAUGGGUUUUAUUGUAUCAUCUUCAUUUAAAAAGACAGAUGAAAAAAGAAGGAAAAACGUGCAAUCUGUGGUUUUGCUGCAAAUGCUGGUAUUUUGUGUAAAGAAUGAGAGUAGGAGUUGAGCUGGUGGCCAGCAGAGAUCUCUGGAGAAGCUGGGAUGGAGGAGAACUCACGAAGUUGGUCAGGUUUGUCUGUCUGCUUUUCCCACAGCAUCUCAGAGCUGAAGAGCCUAAAACUUGUAAUGUCAAAACCUCUUCACUUUGUUACCCAACUUGUUAUCCCAAAAAGCAUCCAAAGCUUCAAACUAAGAAUAAAUCAGGUUAAAAAUGUGGGAAAAACUUGUGCUGUACAGCUGCUUUCAUGUAAAACCCAAGCAGCACAGAUGAGUCACUGUGGAAGUCUUGUAAUUUUCUGCCAAGCGAUAAAUUAUUACCUUAUCCUGCACUGGAAAUGGGGGAAAAGUUAGCUAAAAGUGUUUGAAAAAGCAAAACCUCCUACCUUUUUGCAGCAUAAUAAUAGAUAUAGUUAUCUCUGAUGACUCAUGUUAUGGGAGGUCAUGGGGGGAAAUGCAGAAGCGUUUUGGCAUUGAAUUUAAAAUGAAACAGUUCAAAUUGUGCUAAAUAAAUAUGCUUUUCUCCCCCCUCCCAUUUGGGAGUAUUCUCAGACAUUCUUUUAAAAGCAAGUAUUUCACAAGAGAUUCAAACUGUGUGAAUAAUAAAAUGUCAUUAGCUUUAUAUUUGAAAUCUGAAAGGACAAGAAAAUAAGGCUGUUAUUAUUCAGACUUAAGUUUAGAAAAACAGACUUUAGGAAAGUGAAAUAAUCUACCACGGGAAGUGGC